ncrna:unclassified sequences DTF805b RNA
GCGGCGGAAUCCGAAAAGCCAUACAAUAGAGUAGGAG